UGCAGCCUUGUCAAAUUCAGUAUGUCAUUCUCUGUGGGCUAUACUGGCCAAAAUGGCUGCAACAGGAAACUUGUAGUUAAUGUGCCCCACAUCUUAAACUAAUGGAUAAUGGGGAUAUAUCAAUUCUACAGACAAGU